AUUGAACGCUGGCGGCAUGCCUAACACAUGCAAGUCGAACGAGUGGCGGACGGGUGAGUAAUGUCUGGGAAACUGCCCGAUGGAGGGGGAUAACUCCUGGAACCGGUAGCUAAUACCGCAUACCAUCGGAUGUGCCCAGAUGGGUUUAGCUAGUAGGUGGGGUAACGGCUCACCAAGGCGACGAUCCCUAGCUGGUCUGAGAGGAUGACCGGCCACACUGGAACUGAGACACGGUCCAGACUCCUACGGGAGGCAGCAGUGGGGAAUAUUGCGCAAUGGGCGAAAGCCUGAUGCAGCCAUGCCGCGUGAGUGAAGAAGGCCUUCGGGUGGUAAAGCACUGUCAUCAGGGAAGCGUUACUCGAAGAGGAAGCCCCGGCUAACUCCGUGCCAGCAGCCGCGGUAAUUC
rnacentral:rRNA from 1 species